UGGGGAAUAUUGCACAAUGGGCGAAAGCCUGAUGCAGCAACGCCGCGUGAGUGAUGAAGGCCUUCGGGUUGUAAAGCUCUGUCUUUUGGGACGAUAAUGACGGUACCAAAGGAGGAAGCCACGGCUAACUACGUGCCAGCAGCCGCGGUAAUACGUAGGUGGCAAGCGUUGUCCGGAUUUACUGGGCGUAAAGGAUGCGUAGGCGGAUUUUUAAGUGAGAUGUGAAAUACCCGGGCUUAACUUGGGUGCUGCAUUUCAAACUGGGAAUCUAGAGUGCGGGAGAGGAGAAUGGAAUUCCUAGUGUAGCGGUGAAAGUGCGUAGAGAUUAGGAAGAACACCAGUGGGCGAAAGGCGAUUCUCUGGACCGUAACUGACGCUGAGGCAUGAAAGCGUGGGUAGCAAACAGGAUUAGAUACCCUGGUAGUCCACGCCGUAAACGAUGAGUACUAGGUGUAGGAGGUAUCGACCCCUUCUGUGCCGCAGUUAACACAAUCAAGUACUCCGCCUGGGGAAGUACGAUCGC
rnacentral:rRNA from 1 species